UAUUAUUUGUCUCUUCGAGUCUUUUGAUCUAAGGGUUUUAUCUAUGAUUUUAAGACCGAUAGGGUACAAUUGGAAACGGUUGUGCCUCCCAGUGUGGAAAGAAGAGAUCGUGGUAUAGUA
rnacentral:ncRNA from 2 species